CCUACGGGGGGCAGCAGUGAGGAAUAUUGGUCAAUGGACGCAAGUCUGAACCAGCCAUGCCGCGUGCAGGAAGACUGCUCUAUGAGUUGUAAACUGCUUUUGUACGAGGGUAAAUCCCGAUACGUGUAUCGGGUUGAAAGUAUCGUACGAAUAAGGAUCGGCUAACUCCGUGCCAGCAGCCGCGGUAAUACGGAGGAUUCAAGCGUUAUCCGGAUUUAUUGGGUUUAAAGGGUGCGUAGGUGGUUCGAUAAGUUAGUGGUGAAAUCCCGGGGAUCAACUGCGGAACUGCAUCUGAUACUGUCGGGCUAGAGUAUAGGUGCGGUAGGCGGAAUGUGUGGUGUAGCGGUGAAAUGCAUAGAGAUCAUGCAGAACACCGAGUGCGAAGGCAGCUUACCAAACUGCGACUGACGUUGAGGCACGAAAGCGUGGGGAGCAAACAGGAUUAGAUACCCCUGUAGUC
rnacentral:rRNA from 1 species